AUGUUGCAGCACUUCCUUCAAAGUACUGAAGAGCGUACGAUACUUCAUUCUUCCUUGAAACCAAAUUGCUCCCGAAGUGAUUCUCCAUGUUCUGAAUCCAUAGCUCUGCCUCCGGCUGGGUUUUCGGUCCAGAGAAUACCAGUCCAACUUCAUUCAUCAUCUACCGGGUCCAAGGGUUUUGGGAUGAGAUACGAGAGAAGAGUGGAGCGAUAUACACAUAAUACAAACAAUAGUUUUGUAAAUAGGUUUUAUUUGCGCCUGUCGGAAAAACAUCAAACAAAUGACAACUCACAAAUCAUCGUAUCUAACAUAAGUAUAUAUAACAGGGGUGGUCUUCUAAAGGUCAAAUCAAUAUUCAGAGUCUCUGAAUUUUCCAAGCCUUGA
rnacentral:rRNA from 1 species